AACGAACGCUGGCGGCAUGCCUAACACAUGCAAGUCGAACGAGACCUUCGGGUCUAGUGGCGCACGGCUGCGUAACGCGUGGGAACCUGCCCUUAGGUUCGGAAUAACUCUCCGAAAGGGGUGCUAAUACCGGAUAAUGUCUUCGGACCAAAGAUUUAUCGCCUUUGGAUGGGCCCGCGUUGGAUUAGCUAGUUGGUAGGGUAAAAGCCUACCAAGGCGACGAUCCAUAGCUGGUCUGAGAGGAUGAUCCGCCACACUGGGACUGAGACACGGCCGAGACUCCUACGGGAGGCAGCAGUGGGGAAUAUUGGACAAUGGGCGAAGUCCUGAUCCAGCAAUGCCGCGUGAGUGAUGAAGGCCGUAGGGUUGUAAAGCUCUUUUACCCGGGAUGAUAAUGACAGUACCGAGAGAAUAAGCCCCGGCUAACUCCGUG
rnacentral:rRNA from 1 species